UUUAAUGUUGGAACAUGGCAACUGUCAUCAGGACAGGUAAAGUAUACAGUGAGAUUUAAUUCAAAAUACUUAAUAGCUUUAGGUUCUAAUGAGUAUAAUACAAAGACAGGGCAUCAUCAAACCUCGAUUUCCUUAAUUUCUUCCUAGAAGGCAUACACAGUGAAGAGAAAAUGAAAUUAAUUAGGGGAUAUUAUUUUAAAGUAAUUAGAAAUAACACCAAAAGGAAGUGAAAAAAUGUUUCCAAGUUAUUUAAAACUCCAAACUCAGUCAUUUAGUUGUUUUCUUAGUUGCAAAGUCACCAGGGUGAAUAGCAGAGGAGGGUUCUGUAGGUAAGUGGUCAAGGGGGCAGGCAAGGGGGCGAUAAAGAAGGAUUCUAGAAACAAUUGACAUUUAAAUAUAUAGCCUUUUAAUUUUUUACUUUUUUACAUAACUAUGAAAAGUGAACUUGGGAUAUUUUUGUGGAGGAUUAUGGUUUCAAUACUUAAAUAAGAGACAAAAACUGUUAUGUCUAAGAUUAUAAAAAUGUCCAGUAGUCUUUCAGAGAAAUGAAGUGCCCAUCUCCCUAAAUGGAAUAGUCACAAAUUUCAUCCAUGAAUCCAGGCUUCUAUAAUAUAGAACUGCAAAUACAACAUUGACUAAACACUACAUUUGGCUGAAGCAGAAAUUAGAGCUUUCUCUAUCCAUCCUUACUGCAAGUCCACAUGAAUCAGGCUUGUGCAUCUUCUUUACUACCCAUUUAUUUCUCUCCUAAUAAAUUAAGAUUAAAGUUCUAUGUUUUCUAUUGUUACAAACAUCAUGCCACAAAACAUGUAGAAAGCCACCAAAAUAUAGCUUUUAAAAAUGCUUCUUAUUUUAUAACUGUCAAGUAUAAUGUAAGGACACUCACCUUAGAAAACAACUGGGGAGUCUCUACUGGGUGCUGGGCUUCAUUGAUAACAAGAUAUGAACCAUUUAUUUCCACUCAUCUUCCAGCUAUCUAACUAUUAGCCUUCCUGGAUGGAAGUUUUAUGUGACCCCACCCAUAAAAUGACCCUAUUAGAUCUACUGCUGAUUUUUGGCUGUUUUGUUUUGUUUUGGAUAUGUCUUCUUUGGGAAAUGGAAAGCCACUAGAGAGUGAACAAUAUAGUAAUUUUGGGAUCACAUCAUAAUUAUGGCUACACCACUCUACCAGAAAGGGCCAAUAUUUUGAUAUUGGAAUAUAAUGUUGCCAUCUUUUAAGUUCAUUCUUAAGAACAGUGCAACUGAGUUACCAAAAACAAAAAACAAAAUAAAAUAAAAUCUCACAGUAUUUUAAGUAAGUUUAGGAUGUUGUGGGGCCCACAUUCAAAACUAUUCUGGACAUAUUUGGUCUACAUGCCACAGGUUGAAUGUACCAGAUACACCCUCUGUACCAGAUAAGAGUGAUAUUAUUAAACACAACAUAACCAUGAGAGAGUCCUGGUAGAUUCUAAAGCCAUGAAAACAUUUACUUCCUGUAAUUCCUUUUAAAGAGAAUGAAGUAUUAUAAAUAACAGAAAUGAACACACAUAUUUGUCAUAAUUAUUUGGAUGUCUCUGUAGAUGAAUCUUGAUUCUCCCAAAUUUACAGCAUAUAAAUUCAUCUUACUUUUUUAUGGUUACUCAAUAGGAAUCUAUAGCAAUUUAAAAUCUGAAUAAAGUUUCUUGAUGUUAACUGUCCAUUAAAUAUUAGCAUAAAUCAAAACAAAGAACAAUUAUUUGAUGUACCAUGUUAAAUACUAUGUUAAACUUGUCAACCUGUCUGAAUUAGAUACUAAUUUUAAUCUACACAUGUGUUUGAGAGUUGUAAAAUAUCACUGGAUAAUGAAAAGGGAGGUGUUACUAGAAAGAAAAGAAUAAAUUUUUCCUUUGCUCGAUAUGUUAAAGCAACUUUGUAAACAUAUUUCAGUCAACAUGACCAUGAAAAUUUCAGAUUUGGGCAAAGUGUUGAAAGAUAAAAUGGAUUUCCUUAAAAAUAUUCUGUGUUUCUAACAUCUUUAAAAAUACACUGAGAUGAAAUUUGCGACAGUAUUAUUACUGGACUCCUUAUGAACUUUAUGGAAGUCCUCAUAACAGAGGCCACAGCCCUCUCAGUGUGUAUUUCUGUGCAUCAUAAAGCACAUGUUAGAUACAAGAUUAUACUCCAGAAUGAUGAAGGCCUAGCAAGGCACUGCUUUCUUUUCUUUAAUCAUAUGCUUGAUUUUACUGUCUUCCCAACAUCAUGCUGGAGGUUUGAUGAAAGUUGAAGCAUGAAGGUUUCUUACAAUGAUAUUCAAACCCAAAUUUGCUUCAACCUCUUCACACACUAAUGAUUUAAUUGUUUAGAAAACAAACCACUCAUGUUUUACCUCAUAGGGGCUAGAAAAAGAGUUACAAUUUUGUUAAACAUGUCUAUUAUAUUAGAGGAAAAGAUUAUAAUAGAACAACAUCUAGCUACAGUCCUUUUUUUAUUUUGAUGAAUGUCAUGAGUGCAGAUUUAAGAAGAACUUUAAUUUUUUAAGCUAUGUUUAUCUACCUACAUAUGUGCAGGGAGACACUGACAAUACAGUGUGGCUAUAAUGUGAUUACAACACAUUUAAAAUGUAAAUCAAGUUAAAUGAGUGCCUAUUUUGUGUGUGUUUUCACUCUCCAUAUGACCUUCAUUUGUAUUUAAGACUGUUGUCUUUUUAAAAGCUCUUUCUCUUUCACCAUGUAUUAGAACUUAAGUUUAAGCUGUAUUCUAUUUUCUGUAGAAAAACUUUGUGAAAUAGUAACUCUUCUCUCUCAUGCCAUUAUUGAAGGACAUUAACUUAUUAAACAUUUUUCCUAAGAUAAAUAAAACCUAUCACAACAAUCCAAAGGCUAAAAGCCCUUUUUUAAAGAAAAAAUAUCCUACAUUUUAAUAAGUUUAAGUUCAUAAAAGAAUAAACCAUGCCCAUGGUUUCAUAAUGUUUGUACUCUCUGCUAUUUUCUUAAAGACACCCCCCCAAAUUUGGAGAAAUAAAACUAUAC
rnacentral:lncRNA from 1 species